ensembl:lncRNA
CCCAUCUAGCCAGUACAGUACCUCCCAUCUAGCCAGUACAGUACCUCCCAUCUAGCCAGUACAGUACCUCCCAUCUAGCCAGUACAGUACAGUACCUACCAUCUAGCCAGUACAGUACCUACCAUCUAGCCAGUACAGUACCUCCCAUCUAGCCAGUACAGUACCUCCCAUCUAGCCAGUACAGUACCUCCCAUCUAGCCAGUACAGUACCUACCAUCUAGCCAGUACAUACCUCCCCCAUCUAGCCAGUACAGUACAGUACCUCCCAUCUAGCCAGUACAGUACAGUACCUCCACCUAGCCAGUACAGUACCUCCCAUCCAGCCAGUACAGUACCUCCCAUCUAAUCAGUACAGUACCUCCCAUCUAGCCAGUACAGUACCUCCCAUCUAGCCAGUACAGUACCUCCCAUCCAGCCAGUACAGUACCUCCCAUCUAAUCAGUACAGUACCUCCCAUCUAGCCAGUACAGUACCUCCCAUCUAGCCAGUACAGUACCUCCCAUCUAGCCAGUACAGUACCUCCCAUCUAGCCAGGACAGUACAGUACUCCCAUCUAGCCAGGACAGUACAGUACCUCCCAUCUAGCCAGUACAGUACCUCCCAUCUAGCCAGUACAGUACCUCCCAUCUAGCCAGUACAGUACCUCCCAUCUAGCCAGUAC